rnacentral:misc_RNA from 1 species
AAAGUCGUAACAAGGUCUCCGUAGGUGAACCUGCGGAGGGAUCAUCAAAGAAUUAACAACACACAAGUGUUUUGGAUGCGUGGGGGUAUAUAUCUCUGCGUUUUCCAGACACUUCAAACAAACGAUCACAACUAAGAGAGAGAAUGAUUUGGCUUUAAAAGUGGUUGCCUGAUAAUUGGUUGACUUGGACAACGAGAUAAUCUAUACAACUUUCAACAACGGAUCUCUUGGCUCUC